rnacentral:rRNA from 1 species
AGCGAAUGCGAUACGCAUUGUGAAUUGCAGAUUUCAGUGAACCAUCAGAUUUCCGAACGCAUAUGGCGCUGCGGGGACUUCCCCGCAGCACGUCUGUUUCAGUGUCUUU